AUACCGAGGUGGCAAGCGUUGUUCGGAAUUAUUGGGCGUAAAGAGCACGUAGGUGGAUUUGUUAGUCAGAUGUGAAAGCCUUUUGUUCAACGGAAGAAUUGCAUCUGAAACUACAAACCUUGAGUAUAGGAGGGGAGAGUGGAACUUCUGGUGGAGCGGUGAAAUGCGUAGAUAUCAGAAGGAACGCCGGCGGCGAAAGCGACUCUCUGGCCUAUAACUGACACUGAGUGUGCGAAAGCUAGGGGAGCAAACGGGAUUAGAUACCCCAGUAGUCC
rnacentral:rRNA from 1 species